rnacentral:rRNA from 1 species
UACAGAGGGUGCAAGCGUUAAUCGGAAUUACUGGGCGUAAAGCGUGCGUAGACGGUUAUGUAAGUCAGAUGUGAAAGCCCCGGGCUUAACCUGGGAAUGGCAUUUGAGACUGCAUAGCUAGGGUGCGGAAGAGGGAAGCGGAAUUUCCGGUGUAGCGGUGAAAUGCGUAGAUAUCGGAAGGAACACCAGUGGCGAAAGCGGCUUCCUGGUCCAGCACCGACGUUCAGGCACGAAAGCGUGGGGAGCGAACGGG